UCACUCGUGUGCCUCGCACGCGCACUCCCGCAGUCUCACACAGGCUUGCGCGUCCAUUUCAGAGACGAAUCAGCUCGCGUGUCUGCCCAUCGCUUCCCAACCGCAGCGCGGCGGCGAGAUCGACCUCCUCAAUCGACAAUCGGUGACCGUUCCGUGACUCCGUGUCGAUCCCCAAUCGGUGACCGUGUCGACCCCUACUGAGCUCGCGGGCGCGGCAUCCCCCAACCCAAAAUUGAUGGAGGCUGCGGUCUCCAGCGCCGGCGGCGAGUCAGCGGGCGAGCUGCUUCUCCGCGCGGCGGCGCUGGUGCCGUGGACGCGCUACGUCCUCGCGGCGCUCGCCCUCGCCGCCGCGCUCCUGUACAGGUUCCUCGAGCUCCACUUCCUGGGCGACCUCCUCCGCGGCCUCCGCGGCGGCCGCGUCUCGCUUACCUUCCACCCCGACUCUCAAGUGUACCACCGGGUCGCCUCCAAGUGCCGCUCGCUGCACGGCAGGUACCUGGCGACGCCGUGGUUAGCGAGUCCUCAUUUGCAGACGUUGUUCCUGAGCAUAUCUGGCAGGCCACCUUCAUUCACCUAUGGGAGGCAGCUGUACACUGUUCGUGACGGUGGGACCAUUGCCUUAGAUUGGUUACUAGCCUCUGAUCUUGAAGCUGGAGAUGUUGGCACUUGUGAUGGAACCAUUUCUAAGGAUGAUUCAACACCUCUUGUUGUUGUGAUACCUGGAUUAACUAGUGAUUCUAGUGCUGCUUAUGUGAAGCACUUGGUCUUUUCUAUGGCAAUCAAAGGAUGGAAUGUUGUUGUAAGCAACCACAGGGGUCUGGGUGGCAUCUCCAUAACAUCUGAUUGCUUUUACAAUGCCGGGUGGACGGAAGAUAUGCGUGAAGUUGUUAAUUUCCUUCAUCAAGAGUAUCCGAAGGCUCCACUAUUCACUGUUGGGACAAGCAUAGGUGCCAAUAUUGUGGUCAAGUAUCUUGGAGAAGAAGGUGAAAAUACACCUGUAGCUGGUGCUGCAUCUAUUUGUUCUCCCUGGGAUCUGCUGGUGACCAACAGAUUUAUUUCACGCAAGCUUGUGCAGCGAUGUUACGAUAGAGCUCUUGCAAUUGGUCUCAAAGGAUAUGCAAAACUACAUCAACCAGUCUUGGCACGACUUGCAAACUGGGAAGCUAUUACAUCGUCACACUCUAUCCGGGAAUUUGACCGCCAUGCCACUUGUGUUGUUGCAAAAUAUGAGGAGUGAAUUCCAUGUAGUGACUAGCUCCUUUCAGACAGUGGACACAUUCUACCGCAAGUGCAGCAGUGCAAAUUAUAUCAGCAACGUUUCAGUUCCCCUGCUUUGUAUCAGUGCCUUAGAUGACCCCCUCUGCACAAGGGAGGCCAUUCCCUGGGAUGAAUGCAGGGCAAACAAAAACAUUGUAUUGGCAACUACACCUAAUGGCGGACAUCUUGCUUUCUUUGAAGGCCUAACUGCUAGAAAGCUUUGGUGGGUAAAGCCUGUUUCCGAGUUCCUCUGUGCUCUGCAUGAUGGCCCCUACAUGCAUCGGCAGAAGGCACAAGAACAUGAUUUGCACUCAUCGUUGGAAUCAUCAAUUGACAAAAGCCCAUAUGUGAAUUUCAUGGAAGAUGGAAUGGUAGCUGCAGUAACAAAUGAUAGCCCUAACAACGGUGACUCCUUGCACAACGAGAUUUCUGGUGAAAUUGAACUCAAUGAUAGCAUGGUUGUCCAACACGUACAACACAAUCAAAACACCGGAGCAAUACAAAAUGAGAGUGACAGUUGGGCGGAUGAUAAAAACAGCUCAGAAGGGAAUGCGAUGACUGUUCAAGCACACGGAGGAUCUCAAGAACAGCGAGAAGAGCCAUAUGCGAACAAAAUCUGUGAAGCCAUUGGUCCUGUUAAGAAAUCCAUAAACCAACUCAGUCGAACCCAGGGGAGGUCAGUCUGGUUGCUUGCUUACAUUGCUCUUGUAACCUCUUGGCCGUUGCUUGGGGCCCUAGGUUUUUACUUCUUCAGGAAAAGGUCUAGUAAUUCUCUGUUAGCUAGAAAGCUGAAGAAAUUGUAAACACUGUGCUAACACGGAUUUGUUUCAUAUGUAACACGUCAAUCAAAUCCUUGUAAGCCAUUAAUACAUGUAUGUAUAAUGUAUGCAACAUUCGGUAACAGAAAAAAUGCCCUAAACGAGAAAGCCCACUCUCUCAUUUUUUGCACAAGCAGAAA